GAGUUUUGAUCCUGGCUCAGAGUGAACGCUGGCGGCGUGCCUAAUACAUGCAAGUCGAACGAUGAAGCUCUAGCUUGCUAGAGUGGAUUAGUGGCGCACGGGUGAGUAAUGCAUAGAUAACAUGCCCUUUAGUCUAGGAUAGCCAUUGGAAACGAUGAUUAAUACUGGAUACUCCUUACGAGGGAAAGUUUUUUCGCUAAAGGAUUGGUCUAUGUCCUAUCAGCUUGUUGGUGAGGUAAUGGCUCACCAAGGCUAUGACGGGUAUCCGGCCUGAGAGGGUGAACGGACACACUGGAACUGAGACACGGUCCAGACUCCUACGGGGGGCAGCAGUAGGGAAUAUUGCUCAAUGGGGGAAACCCUGAAGCAGCAACGCCGCGUGGAGGAUGAAGGUUUUCGGAUUGUAAACUCCUUUUGUUAGAGAAGAUAAUGACGGUAUCUAACGAAUAAGCACCGGCUAACUCCGUG
rnacentral:rRNA from 1 species